rnacentral:rRNA from 1 species
AUUCACGUGUAGCAGUGAAAUGCGUAGAGAUGUGGAGGAAUACCGAUGGCGAAGGCAGCCCCCUGGGCCAAUACUGACGCUCAUGCACGAAAGCGUGGGGAGCAAACAGGAUUAGAUACCCUGGUAGUCCACGCCCUAAACGAUGUCAACUAGUUGUCGGGUCUUCAUUGACUUGGUAACGUAGCUAACGCGUGAAGUUGACCGCCUGGGGAGUACGGUCGCAAGAUUAAAACUCAAAGGAAUUGACGGGGACCCGCACAAGCGGUGGAUGAUGUGGAUUGAUUCGAUGCAACGCGAAAAACCUUACCUACCCUUGACAUGUAUGGAAUCCUGCUGAGAGGUGGGAGUGCCCGAAAGGGAGCCAUAACACAGGCGCUGCAUGGCUGUCGUCAGCU